GCUAGGAUACAAUUAAUGGUGAAAUCUAGCGGUGCAGGGUGGGGGCCAGCAUGCCAUUCGACGGCCAUGGUUCCAAAUUCUUUGAGAAGGAUCAAUCAAGAUCAUUAAAAGAAAGUCUUUCUAAGAUUAGAAAAUCCUAGAUAGAGAGAGAAACAAUCUAGAGAGAAAAUUAUAGAGAGAAAAACUAGAGAAAAAAAUUUAUAAAGAGAGAAAUGAGGGA
rnacentral:lncRNA from 1 species